ensembl:lncRNA
UUUUUUUUUUUUUUUUUUUUUUUUGAGUAGGACAAAAAGGGGAUUCUGACUGCUAAAAGGUUGGAAGAGCUAGAAUCUAGUCCUCCCUGGGCAUCUGAGGACCCAUGACCUUGGGAAAGUCACACCUCUCUGGGCUUCAGUAUCCUCCCACAUGAGGGAGAAGAAAGAGAUAAUCAUGACAAUUCCCUCCAGUUCUAAAAACACUGUGAUUCCAACCUGUAGUCUAUUUUAGCAGAUCUUAUUAUUUCCCCUUGAAAUAAACCCCUGAAAUAGUUUCUCAAUAAUACUCAUACCUCAACGUCACAGCUAUUGUUGAUUCAUUUUUUUAUGACUCCCAUGAUCCUAACUAAAUGUCACUCACAUCACAAGUAUUUAAAAGGUUAAAUGUUAUGAGGGAAACAAAAAAAGUAGAGAACAAGACCUUGCUCACAAGAUGCUUCUAGUGCAGUUGUGCAGAAAAUAUGUGUAUUUUAUCAAGCUGAGAGAAGCCAUUCUAUAAACUUUACAUGAAAUUGCAAAAUAGAAUAAUAAAGUCUGUACCUAAAAGUGCCAUAGAAGUAAAGAAACAACUAGAAUAUAUAUGGUGAUAUAGUUUGGAUGUGUGUCCCAGCCCAAAUCUCAUAAUGAAAUGUAAUCCCCAACAUUGGAGGUGGGGCCUGGUGGGAGGUGGUUGGAUCAUGGGGGCAGAAUUCUCGUGAAUGGUUUAGCACCAUCCCUGUUGGUACUGUCCUCAUGAUAGACAGUAAGUUCUCGUGAGAUCUGGUUGUUUAUAUAGCACCUCCUCACCUCAUUCUCUCUUGCUCCUGCCGUGUGAGACAACUGCUCCCCCUUCACCUUCCGCCAUGAUCAGAAGCUUCCUGAGGUCAUGCGGUCUCCCCAGAAGCAGAUACCACUAUGCUUCCUGUACAGCCUGUAGAACCGUGAAACAACUAAACCUCUUUUCUUUAUAAAUUGCCCAGUCCUAGGCAUUUCUUUAUAGCAAUGCAAGAAUGGACUAACACAUGUGGUGAUAGCUUGAAUAAUAAUAUGUCCUAGGUGGCACCAGAGUAUAAAGAAGGAAACAAAAACUGUAUUGGGAAGUGGAGGAAUCCUUCUACAAAUGGAUCAGAGGAAAGAGAACAUGAAAGGGAGUGCAAAUUGACACUGCUUGGUAGCAGAAAUGAAAGUUGAUGGAGCACUGUGCCCCGCCCAAUGCUAAAGACAAAGGGAGAGCAAUAUUAACCAAGGCAGCUUUGAGUAUAGUGUCCAGCCCCUUUAGAGAAAAGUUUAGAAUAGCUCCACAUACUCAUGUUUUGUAGUUAGUGAAGUUGAGUCUCAGAGACGCCAAGAGACAUGCUUAAAGACACAAAAUCAGGAAGCAGUCUGCUGGAAACACAUGAUGGAUCCAUCUCCUCUUCCCGUUCUACCAUGUUGCCUCCUUGAAGGAAACAAGGUGAAGCUAAGUCCUAGGAGAGACCCAGUCUCCUCAGGGAAAGGCAACAGCAAAUUUGAUUUGUGUAACAAAAAUAUAUUGCAUAUGUAGAAAUUGACAAACUGAAUUUAAAAUUUAGUCAAAAAGGCAAAAGACCUAGAAUAGCCAAAACAAUCUUCAGAAAGAAAAAUUCUGGAGGUCUUAACUUCAGGACUUAAUAAAAGUUGCAGUUAGGCUGGGCGUGGUGGCUCAUGCCUGCAAUCCCAGCACUUUGGGAGGCCAAGGCAGGUAGAUCACGUGAGGUCAGGAGUUUGAGACUAGCCUGGCCAACAUGGUGAAACCCUGUCUCUAUUAAAAUUACCUAAAGUUAGCCAGAUGUGGUGGCAGGUACCUGUAGUUCCAGCUACUUGGGAGGCUGAGGCAGGAGAAUCGCUUGAACCUGGGAGGCAGAGGUUGCACUGGGCCAAGAUUGCACCACCACACUCCAGCCUGGGUGACAGAGCGAGACUCUAUCUAAACAAAACAAAACCUACCGUUAUCAAGGCAGUGUGGCAUUAGUGAAAUAAAUGACAGAUUCAUGAAACAGAAUGAAGAAACCUGAAAUAGAAUCACAUGUAUAUGAC